CCUCUCUGAAAUAAAAAAUGUAUAUAUAGAUUUUAAAAGUGCAAUAUUAAAACAAAAGUGGAGUCUUUUAAGCCCAUUGUGUAAAGACACACUAUGAAUUAUAAAUCAGUGGCACUCCC